GAUUGAACGCUGGCGGCAGGCCUAACACAUGCAAGUCGAACGGUAACAGGAAGCAGCUUGCUGCUUCGCUGACGAGUGGCGGACGGGUGAGUAAUGUCUGGGAAACUGCCUGAUGGAGGGGGAUAACUACUGGAAACGGUAGCUAAUACCGCAUAACGUCGCAAGACCAAAGAGGGGGACCUUAGGGCCUCUUGCCAUCGGAUGUGCCCAGAUGGGAUUAGCUAGUAGGUGGGGUAACGGCUCACCUAGGCGACGAUCCCUAGCUGGUCUGAGAGGAUGACCAGCCACACUGGAACUGAGACACGGUCCAGACUCCUACGGGAGGCAGCAGUGGGGAAUAUUGCACAAUGGGCGCAAGCCUGAUGCAGCCAUGCCGCGUGUAUGAAGAAGACCUUCGGGUUGUAAAGUACUUUCAGCGGGGAGGAAGGGAGUAAAGUUAAUACCUUGGCUCAUUGACGUUACCCGCAGAAGAAGCACCGGCUAACUCCGUG
rnacentral:rRNA from 1 species